rnacentral:SRP_RNA from 1 species
ACUGACCCCUCGUGCGGCGCAAUCUCGCCCAACUCCCCCAGGGCCGGAAGGCAGCAAGGGUAAGCGAGCUCUAGCGGGUGCGCGGGGGGUCCCUACA